UACCCGCAGCACAAGUGGUGGUCAUUAUUAUUGGGCCUAAAGCGUCCGUAGCUGGCCUGGUAGAUGCCUGGGUAAAUCGAAUCGCUCAACGGUUCGAAUUCCGGGUAGACCGCCAGGCUCGAGACCGGGAGAGAUGUGGGCUACUCGAGGGGUAGGGGUAAAAUCCUGUAAUCCUCCGGGGACGACCAGUGGCGAAGGCGCUACACUAGAACGGCUCUGACAGUGAGGGACGAAGCCCUGGGGCGCAAACCGG
rnacentral:rRNA from 1 species